rnacentral:tRNA from 1 species
AGGGAUGUAGCUCAGUGGUAGAGCACUUAUCUAGUAUGUAUGAGGACCUGGUUUCAAUCUCCAGCACUGUUU